GGGGAUGUACUGGUUUUGACAGCAAUGAUUCCGGACGGUAAGCACGUCGGGCUCCCGUGGGCCGGCCCGUUAAUCCUGGUCCGCAAAAAAUCAGUUGCCAACAACAACUACGCACUCGCUGCCUAACCGACACAGUCGCUUAGCUUAAUCCCGGCCGCCCAGGCUGCGGCCCGGACGAGUAUCCCGCGGGCAUUACGCCUUCUCUGUUCCGAGUACGGGGUAUCAAUCAAGAAGGACGCACCGGCGGACGCCUUUAAAGCCGGCCAAGACGAAAAGGCUACGUUGCGGUUAGCCCGCCUUCCGGCAGGCCGCAGCCGACAACCAAAGGAAGGAUAAGCGUGUAGAAAGCUGCCAGGUGCGUUGUUUGGACGGCGGUUCGACUCCGCCCAUCUCCAC
rnacentral:tmRNA from 1 species